GUCAGGAAGGCCUCUUGGAAGAGGAGUCACUUGAACAGAGAUCUCAAUGAAGUGAGGAGGCCAACCGUGAGGAAAUCUACAGAAGAAUAUUCCAGACAGGCAAAAGGUUCCAGGAGAAUAAUUCAUGAAACAAAUCAGGAAUGCUGAAGAGAGUGACAGAGAUCCUUCCAGCAAAUCUUGAGGUCUUUGAUGUGAGCACUGCCCAGAAAAUACCUUCCACUGAGCAGGUAUCAGUUAUCCUGGCAGAAAGAAGACAUCCUCUACUCUUGAAUUUCUCUCCUUCUUCCUCCUCCACUUUCACUUCCUUAAUCGAGUCCAACACUGUUUCUCACUUGGAUUAUUACAACCACCUCCUAUCACUCCUGCCUCCUGGCUUGCCCUUCUCCAGUUCUUUCUCUCAGUUGCAGCCAGAUUGAGGUUUCUAAAAUACAAACAUGGUGAUGUCACUCCCCUACUUGCAGUCCUUUUAGGGGGCCCAUCUACCCACUGUGUGCACAUGUCUUAGUGUAUCUUGCAAAGCCUUCAACCAUCUCUCUCCAACAUCCUCAGCCCUCCCUCCUGUACUGCUGUGCUCUUCAUUCCAGCUUCUCAUCAUCCCUAAUGCACUAUCGUCCCACAGAUCUGGCCAUUGCACAGGCCUAAUGCCUAUUCAGCUUUCAGUUCUCAACUUAGAGAUCUCUUUCUCCGGGAAGCCUUCCCAGAUCACCUGGGUUUGAUGUCCCUCCCUUAUGGUCGGUCCCACAGCAUCCUGCACUAACUGACUGUAAUGAAGCUCUUAUGAAACAAUAUUAUUAUCUGUUAGGGACGAGGGCACUACCACUGACACUUCAAGAAUCUCUAGCACUUUGCUCGGCACCUGGCCCAGAGCAGGUACCUUAGUAUAUGCUUAAUUAAAGGAAUGAAUGAAUGAUUAAGUGUAGCACCAACCAAACCAAAACAAAAUUAAUACUGUCAUGAAAGGGAGUAAAGCCUUGCAGUUAAAUUGAGACAUUUCCAAGUCUGGUAGGUAAAGAACAUGAAAGUUAAGACAUCAAAACUCUUCCAGAGGUUAUUUCUGGGGAGUGUGAUUAGGGGAGUGUAAAAAGGGAAUUUCAUUUUUUACUUUAUAUACCUAACAAUUGUUUGAUAUUGCUAUAAGAAUGCAUUACCGUUAUAACAAAAAUUUUUAAAAAUAAUAAAUGCCCAUAACCAAAUGUUUACUGUUAGUUUUUAAAUAACCUCUAACCCUGUUCUUAAUUUAUUUUUUAAUUUUAAUUUUAUUGGAGUAUAGUUGACUUACAAUGUUGUGUUAGUUUCAGGUGUACAGCAAAGUGAAUCAGUUAUACAUAUACAUAUAUCCACUCUUUUUUAGUUUCUUUUCCCAUAUAGGUCAUUACAGAGUAUUGAGUAGAGUUCCCUGUGCUGUACAGUAGGUCCUUGUUGGUUCUCUAUGGUAUAUAUAGCAGUGUGUGAUGUUCAUCCGAGCUCCUGAUUUAUCCCUCACCCCCCACCCCCUGCCACGUUUCCCUUUGGUUACCAUAAGUUUGUUUUUGAUAUCUCUAAGUCUGUUUCUGUUUUGUAAAUAAGUUCACUUGUAUCAUUUUUUUAAAUUAGAUUCCACAUAUGAGUGAUAUCAUAUGAGAUCUGUCUUUCUCUGUCUGACUUACUACACUUAGUAUAAUAAUUUCUUGGUCCAUCCAUGUUGCUGCAAAUGGCAUUAUUUCAUUCUUUUGUAUGGCUGAGUAAUAUUCCACUGUAUAUAUGUACCACAUCUUCUUUAUCCAUUCCUCUGUCAAUGGACAUUUAGGUUGUUUCCAUAUCUUGGCUAUUGUAAAUAGAGCUGCAGUGAACACUGGGGUGCAUGUAUCUUUUUGGAUUAUGGUUUUCUCCAGAUAUAUGCCCGGAGUGGGAUUGCUGGAUCAUAUGGUAGUUCUAUUUUUAGUUUUUUAAGAGACUUCCAUAAUGUUCUCCAUAGUGGUUGUACCAAUUUUUUUUUUUUUUUGGCUGCGUUGGAUCUUUGUUGCUGUGCAUAGGCUUUUCUCUAGUUGUGGCGAGGGGUGGCUACUCUUCAUUGUGGUGCACGGGCUUCUCAUUGCGGUGGCUUCUGUUGUUGCAGAGCACAGGCUCUAGGCGCGUGGGCUUCAGUAGUUGCAGCACGUGGGCUCAAUAGUUGUGGCGUGACGGCCCUAGAGCGCGCAGGCUUCAGUAGUUGUGGUGUGCAGGCUCAGCAGUUGUGGCUCACAGGCUCUAGAGCACAGGCUCAGUAGUUGUGGCACACAGGCUUAGUUGCUCUGCGGCAUGUGGGAUCCUCCUGGACCAGGGAUCAAACCUCUGUCUCCUGCAUUGGCAGGCGGACUCUCAACCACUGCACCACCAGGGAAGUCCUGGUUGUACCAAUUUACAUUCCCACCAACAGUGUAGGAGGGUUCCCAUUUCUCCAUACCCUCUCCAGCAUUUGUUUGUAGACUUUUUGAAGAUGGCCUCCUCUUCUUAAUUUGAAUAUUUCCAUUUGUUAAUUUUUUUUCUAAAAAAAUAGAAAAACUGUAAAAUGAAAGCUAUCUUAAAGAAAUGAAAUAUUCUGGACAUUUUUAGCUUACCUGUUAUGUGAUGUUUAUAAAGGAUUUCCAGGAUUUUUGCUGUCAUGGAAUGUUGUUAAUAAUCAUGUGUCAUGAGAAUUUAUUGUUGCUUCUUCAGGAGAGUGCAAUUGAUUUAGAGGGAAGAACAUACACUUGGAGGGAAGAAACUUUUAGUUUUCACUGUAUUCUGUACUAUUAUUCAUUAUUAUUAUUAUUCUCUACUAUUCAAAAACUUUACAAGAAGCUCCUAUUACCUUUAUAAUAAAAUAAAAACUAAUUAAAAAUUUAAAAGUGAAUAUUGGCAAGCAUUUUAUGAGGCUUUUAAAAAAUACAUUAAUACUCCCGGCAACUCUGCAAGGUAGAUAUCAUCAUCAUUUUAAAGAUGAAGAAACUGAGACUACAAGAAGUUCUGUGACUUGUUCAGGAUCAAAGUGUAAUAAGGGGCAGACUGAGGACUCAAACCCAAAUCUAAUUUUAAAGUCAAGGUAUAAUUCUUUAAAAAUGUAACACAUCGUGUUUUUUGUUUUAUUAAACAAGUAAAUAGUAGUUUGCUUGGAGGAUAAGUGUGUUACUUUAGGGAUGGAGAGAGAUUUAUUUUCUUAGUUUAGGGCAGUAGCAAAGCUUAGGGAUUCAAGAUAAAUGCUUUCCUGGACUAAGGUACCCAAAGAGGAAUCAUUAGCUGCCAAAUUGAAAACAAAUUUCCUUCUAACAUCGUUAUUAGCAUCUUAAACAUUAUCAUAUUUCCUAAAUAGUCUUUCUCAGCUUUAGCAACAAUAAAGCUUUAGACAUAUAAGCCUUGAAUAUAGGAAGCAAUCGAUAUUGAUUUUAAAUUUGUUAAAGUAUAAAUGUGUGUGU